AGAGUUUUAAGUUAAAUAAACUAAUAACCUUCAAAGUUAUAAAUAUAGAAAUUUUAAACUCUA
rnacentral:tRNA from 1 species